rnacentral:rRNA from 1 species
AUUGAACGCUGGCGGCAGGCUUAACACAUGCAAGUCGAACGAUGAUUAUCUAGCUUGCUAGAUAUGAUUAGUGGCGGACGGGUGAGUAACAUUUAGGAAUCUACCUAGUAGUGGGGGAUAGCUCGGGGAAACUCGAAUUAAUACCGCAUACGACCUACGGGUGAAAGGGGGCGCAAGCUCUUGCUAUUAGAUGAGCCUAAAUCAGAUUAGCUAGUUGGUGGGGUAAAGGCCCACCAAGGCGACGAUCUGUAACUGGUCUGAGAGGAUGAUCAGUCACACCGGAACUGAGACACGGUCCGGACUCCUACGGGAGGCAGCAGUGGGGAAUAUUGGACAAUGGGGGCAACCCUGAUUCAGCCAUGCCGCGUGUGUGAAGAAGGCCUUUUGGUUGUAAAGCACUUUAAGCAGGGAGGAGAGGCUAAUGGUUAAUACCCAUUAGAUUAGACGUUACCUGCAGAAUAAGCACCGGCUAACUCUGUGCCAGCAGCCGCGGUAAGAC